GACUACGACGUUGAUAGGUCGGGUGUGUAAGUGUAGCGAUACAUUGAGCUAACCGAUACUAAUGAACCGUGAGGCUUAACCUU
rnacentral:rRNA from 1 species